rnacentral:rRNA from 1 species
UACGUAGGGUGCGAGCGUUGUCCGGAAUUACUGGGCGUAAAGAGCUCGUAGGUGGUUUGUCGCGUUGUUCGUGAAAACUCACAACUCAAUUGUGGGCGUGCGGGCGAUACGGGCAAACUGGAGUGUUGCAGGGGAGACUGGAAUUCCUGGUGUAGCGGUGAAAUGCGCAGAUAUCAGGAGGAACACCGGUGGCGAAGGCGGGUCUCUGGGCAACAACUGACGCUGAGGAGCGAAAGCGUGGGGAGCAAACAGG